UCUGCUUCCUGAAUGCCACGAGGUGAACAACUUUGCCUUCACUCUGCCCCUCUGCCAUGCCACCCUGCCUUGGAGCCAGCAGCAUGUAGACUGAAACAUCUACAAACUAGCUGAGAGUCUAUGGUGCCAGAGGACUCCGCAGUGCCAUUCUGUUUCCCUUCUCCUUCCCACUGUUGGAAUCCUGCCCAUCCCCAGCCAUCCUGCAAGGCUGUCCUGACUGCUGUCCCCAUGGUGCUACCCUAGCAACCCAGGGAGCCUGGUAGGAGUCUCUGACCUGUCUGCACACUCACUGCUGCUGUGCCAAGCAAGCCAAACAUGAUCGGAGACCUACUGGGCUAGAGAAAGAGCAGACAGUCACUCCGCACCGAGGCAGCCUCCACAUCCAGCACAGUGCUCUGGACAAGUCAGUGUCUUAAGGCUCUGUUUCUACAUCCUGAAUGAGAGUGAUCAACCUGCUACCUGCCAUCAGAGUUGUUAAGACUAAAUCAGAUUGGCCGCUCAUCUACAACAAGCAACAAAACAACUCACUUAGAAGCCUGAGGUCCCAAGCAUGCUCUUAACUGCUCAUGUGCUGAUCUACACCUACUGUAUGUGAUUGGAACUGGAUCUCUACCCUUGGUGUUUCUCCAUAUUCGACCGGCAUAAGCAGUCAGAGGAACUCCAAAAGACUUCAGAAAGGCCUGAUAAAAUGAGGCCUUAGGUAUCAGAAAAUGUGACUGAGCCUGCUGCUUAAAGAAGAGCCAAGAUAUGUUUAUCAGGUUUGUUGAGUUAACUGAAAUAUUUUUAUUGCCACGUUCAUACUUAGUAAUUUUUGUCUGUGGGUCUCACUUCUCCAUAUCCUGAG
rnacentral:lncRNA from 1 species